rnacentral:lncRNA from 1 species
GUUGGGUUAACCCUCCCACCUGGCCACCUCCCCACGAGCCACGAAGGCCUCUAACCUCAUCCACCACCACCACCUCGUGCGCUAAUAUCAUGCGUCUAAGGAUGAAAUAAAAAUAAAAUCCUCUCCGCCAGCUCUCUCCCCCGAUUCCUCUCUCCACCACCACCGAUUCCAGGGAACUCCGGCGCUCCCCUGCACUCCUGAUCCCUGGUUCGGAUCCCUCUUACUAUUCUCUCCUCUAACCCGCGGCCCGCCGCCUCCCCGACAUCCUAUGCGACCCUGCCCACGCCCCCGCAGAAACCCUAGACCCCCACGGGUCGCCGGCGCAGCUUUGGCACCUCCGGUUUGUCGGCCCACCACCCCGCCUCUCUGCACGAGCGGCUAUCGGCUCGGGCUCGACGGUACUGCGCUCCGUCAGCUACCUCGACUCCGACGCCGACGGUUCAGUAAGGCACUGAUCCCCUCUGAUCUUACCCUUGCUGGUAUUCGGUGUGGCUUGGCCAUCAUGCCAAGGCUGUUUCUUUUCCAGAAAUUUUGACGAUUAUCUAUGCUACCUUGAUCACUCGCCUGAUCUAUGCAUCCAUGCCACUCCCCGAUCCGAGUUCUCCACUGUAGUUGUGCGCGCACUGAAAUACCAGGUUGUAAGUACCAGGGAAUCAGUGUGUACUUAACUAAUUUACGGCUGUUUGUUUUUGCUAAUAACAGCUUGAUGACAUGGCACAGAUAGUCUGAUAUAUUCUGUAACUUCAGUUUUUUUCGAGAUUGUAUUCUGUAACUUCUUCAUUGUGCUUGGUAAAAAAAAUAUCUUCUAUGUUUACGCCACAAAACUUUGGAUCUGUAAGUAAUGCUAACAAUGCCUAACAGUUUUGAUAGCUUUUAUUUGGGACUGACUGACAGUAUACACUCUUUUUUUGCUUCUUUGCACUGUUAUAUUAUUUCAGUUUCCUAACAUACAGAAAAGCCCCGAUCUGUUAUCUUCAGGUUGUAGUUGAGACUUCAUUUAUGCCGAGUAUGCUGUAGCAGCUGAACAUCGUCAUCGCUCAAAUGUGUAGGAGGUGCCUUUCUUUACAGACUUUAGUUCCUUAUAUAGUAGCACUUUCUUACACCAACUGGGCAUGCUUAAUUUAAGUUGAAAGUUUUCAACCUUUAGGAUAAAUUCAAGUUUAACAUUCCAUAUGUGUAGUUUGUUAUUAGCUGCAUUGUUAUUUAGCUGGCUGGUACUAAGUUCUAAAAGGCAUCCUCCUUCCAGAGCUAAAUUUCUUAAAUCUUAGAGAAAGUAAAUAUUUAGUCAAUAUGCAUGUAAAUCUUGAUCUCGACAUCUAUAUUUUACCUUUAUAUUGUGUCAUUCACAGUUACAUAUGCAAGUUGGGUUUUAUUAUCUGUUCAGUAGUAGAGGGGAAAUUGUGAAAUGUUGAUACGACUCCCUGGAUACUACCCUAGUAUGUCCUUGCGUCCGAGUGAUGAUAUAUCCAAACAUCUAAUAUUGACUUGCACUUCUCGUGAAUGAAAUGUGACUGAUUUUAUCUUCUACAGUGCCUGCUUUCCAUGAUGUACCGAUGUCAUUGAUGUGCCUUUUGUGGUGAGAAGAUUACACAAAUCUAGAUCUGAAGUCUAUUGAAUUCUGCUCGAGAGUGUUAUCCUACCUAACCCAUAUUUUUGGUUUCUAAUGGAAGUAAUUUUCAUAUAACAGAUGAGAAAGGAACUAGGUAUUGCAGAUGAUGUUACGGUGGUCAUUUUCUACAUUUGAGGACAGGUGGGCCAUUAACUAAGAUGGGCAUUCUGUUUUCUUAAGUGUGGAUGCUUUACUUCUUUUUUUAGUUUAAAUGAUGGCAGCUAAUUGAACAUCUCUGAACUUGCUUCAUGUAAUUCUCUUGAUUUUAACUUCGAGAACAUCUGAUUUCCUGAAUUCUCUGUACUUAUUUAAUUUUUUUGACAAGCUGUCUACCAAUCAUCAAGCACAAAAGAUGCGCCACCAUAUAGAUAAGCUUCUCUCGCCCUGCAUUGACAUGUUUUCCCCUUGUUUUAUGAAUGUGAAACAAGAAUUGAACUUGACGCCGCUGAAGUUAAAUUAAGUAUAUCCCUCUAGCAUAAUCAUGCACAUCAAUUGUUCAAGAAAAAAAUCUUCUAUGUUAUUUUUUCCCAUCCUAUACCAAUGAUCAAUGUUGUAAUAAGAUUAUUCCGCAGUUCACUAAGAUUUCAGUAUAUAAGAGAGACUAUACACAUGUUUUUGUUUUCAAUAAUACAUAGCAAAAAAAAUUCAAAUAACUAUGAUAGAAAUCAGUGUCCUGUACGUGGUUCCACAAAGACAAGUUUAUACUGUUCUGCACUUACUAUGAUAGAAAUGAUCUAAAUCUCUGAAUAGCAAUGAGUGUGCAAAGUAUUUAGCGUGCCAUGAAUUGCCAAAAUGAUAGUACUAAUUAUCGGUGAAGUUAUUCUGAUUUAGCAAAUAAAACUUACCUGAAUAAGCAAUUUGCAAGAUUAGAUAUCAAGCCAACAACAUGCUCUUCUACGGCUAUGUAAUGCAACCAACCUAGCUCAGUAACCUUUCUAAUGCUACAUUAGAAAAAUAUGAUCAGUUGAUACGACCACUCAAAAAUGUCAAAAGUAAUUGUCAUGCAGCUAGAUUAGUUAUCGCAAGGCCUUCAGCCUUUGUAUGUUUCCCCCUCUUCUUAAUUGUAUUGCUCUAUUGGCCAGGGUUUUUUCAUUCUCUAAUGCUACGUUACUCAUGUCAGUUUUUAUUUUUGAUGUAGAUUGCCAAGAUAAAUAGAGGAUGCAUGGAUAAGUUGUUUUUGGCAAGGCAGAGAAUGGGACUACUACCAACAUAGUUUUACGUUAAGUUUUUAGAAAGCCGUUUUCAUGGUCAGUGUAUAGAAAAUGAUGUGACGUCAUUUUCAGGGUCAAUGUAAAGAAAAUCAUGUGUUUACUCUUUUGAUUUUGUUCCAUGUAAUGCAACCAAUCAGAUUCAAUAUAUGAGCUCUCCCUAUUUACUGAUUUUUUGCUCUUGUGCACUAUCAAUAUUAACCGAAUAAUUGUUGUUGUUAAUAUAUAUAAAAUAUUGGCAAUUG